rnacentral:rRNA from 1 species
AGUGAACGCUGGCGGUAGGCCUAACACAUGCAAGUCGAACGGCGGCACAGUAAGAGCUUGCUCUUACGGGUGGCGAGUGGCGGACGGGUGAGGAAUACAUCGGAAUCUACUUUUUCGCGGGGGAUAACGUAGGGAAACUUACGCUAAUACCGCAUACGACCUACGGGUGAAAGCAGGGGAUCUUCGGACCUUGCGCGAUUGAAUGAGCCGAUGUCGGAUUAGCUAGUUGGCGGGGUAAAGGCCCACCAAGGCGACGAUCCGUAGCUGGUCUGAGAGGAUGAUCAGCCACACUGGAACUGAGACACGGUCCAGACUCCUACGGGAGGCAGCAGUGGGGAAUAUUGGACAAUGGGCGCAAGCCUGAUCCAGCCAUACCGCGUGGGUGAAGAAGGCCUUCGGGUUGUAAAGCCCUUUUGUUGGGAAAGAAAAGCAGCAGGUUAAUACCCCGCUGUUCUGACGGUACCCAAAGAAUAAGCACCGGCUAACUUCGUG